CACGUAGGGUGCGAGCGUUGUCCGGAAUUAUUGGGCGUAAAGAGCUCGUAGGCGGUGUGUCGCGUCGGCCGUGAAAACUUUCAGCUUAACUGGGAGCUUGCGGUCGAUACGGGCAUCACUUGAGUUCGGCAGGGGAGACUGGAAUUCCUGGUGUAGCGGUGAAAUGCGCAGAUAUCAGGAGGAACACCGGUGGCGAAGGCGGGUCUCUGGGCCGAUACUGACGCUGAGGAGCGAAAGCGUGGGGAGCGAACAGG
rnacentral:rRNA from 1 species